rnacentral:lncRNA from 1 species
GGGGCAGAAGCGCACGGGCCUGCGCAGUGUGGCUGAGCUCGAGAGCCUCGUGCCAGACAGCCUGCGCUGUGUUCUCAGGACCCUGGAUGCGGCCAGCUCAGCAGGGCCGGUUUGUCGCUGGGCAACACUUGGCUUUCCUUUAGGACAGGAGUUGGACUGCCCUGGUUUCAGUGCGGUCCCAGCCGUGUCUGGAAUCUGCUGAUGAAGGAACUGGAGGAUGAGGGGCAUCUCCACCCAGGCCUGCCCUGGAGGGUGCAGGCCACCUUCAGAAGGGACACUCCCGUGAGGUUCCUUCACGGCCCCUCUCCCAGGCUCUUCAGUUUUGAGGAAAAUAGUUUCUCCUUGAACGUGGAGGAGUGACUCCCAGCCACAGCCCACGGGUUCCGAGUCUCCAGGACGCCAUGCCCCGACUAGCUGUGACCACGGAUGGCCAGAGAUAGCUUCUCAGCACCGUCUCUACCUCGUUCCUGUGAUACCGGACCAUCUGCAAUCCAACUGGAAGAAUUGUGCCGGAUGGGCCUUUCCUUCUCCUCAUCUUCAUGCACACAAACGUCUCUGAACAAUGUCCUUUCUGCACUGGGCAAUGUGGCCUCUCAGGGAGCACGAGGUCCACCGCGGAGCUAUUCCUAUCAGCAGUAUUGGCGGAUGGAGCAUCUGCUCCAUAUCUGCUCGGCCUUUGGGGGCAGGUGGAUAUAUAAGAGGGGUGAUCACCGCACCAUGAUCCCCUCUUGCUCUCUACUUCAGGGUUCAGACAGAGUGUUCCCCGUGUGGCCCUGCCCAGCAGCGACAGGGGUCAAGGAGGGUCUCAGGAUGGCUGGGAAGGGAAUCUGCAUUGAAAUGGAGGAGGGCAGGAAGGAGAAGACACCAGAGGAGGGGUGUAAGAGGGACAUCAAGCACCCUGGGCCAGGGCUCCCUUGGUGACAAACAGGCCAAGCAAACGUCCAGACUGACCAGGGAGGACCCAGCAUGCCAGGUCAGACGGUCAGCUCCUGUUAUGGAGGCGUGGCUUGGAAACACCUGGGAGGUGAAUGUGACCACAAGAGGUUCCAAAUAUUCCAGCUAUCCCGAGGAGCCUGGGGAGCACCCUGUCGUCCAGCCUCAGGUCUGAGGGCUGCACAGACGGCUGUACAGCAGGCGCGGACGGGGCCUCAGGGUCCCCAGAGCUGGUGACCUCACAUACGUGGUUCUCCCUUGUGUUCACAUACAGGUGGGUUAUGAAUCCACAUGACCUCCCCAAUCUCAAGGUCAGGCGGAGCCAGCCUCCCCACAAGGCAUGUGACGUGGGCUCCGUCUGCAUCAGUAACAUGUGUUGACGGAAAGCCUGUGACUCGUGGGGACUCAAGGGGCCGUGGUCUGAGGCACAUGCCUCUGUCCCGCCUGCGAGGCCCGGGAGGGGGUGAGGGAGGACAGUUGCUCUGACGUAAGCCAGCUGCACAUGCCGUGAGUUUCCCAGGAGGAGGGGUGCAGACAGGAAACGUCCCGGAUGAGGACAGCACCCUCGCAGGGUCAGGGUGUGCGGGAGGCUGUGUAGCCACCUGUGUGGUGCCGGCCAGUCUGCAGGGAGGGUUUGGCUCCAGCAGGACACUGGUGACGAGGCCACCCUGACACUGACCAUGCCGUCACCUGCCCAGUUGUGGGUCAUGCUCUGUGACCCAGAACACCCGGGAGAAGUGGCUGAGACGUGGGCCAGCUCUGCGGAGCUGCACGCCAGGAGGACUGCUGCCUGGUCCCUGCAGGUCAGCCUGUUUGGCCCGAGGCCCUGGGCAGGCUACCUGGGCUCUGCCCCUUCUUACCCUCCUGUCCUUACCCCUGACCGGCUGUCUAUUCUGAGGGCAGCUCAGCCAGAAGAAGGAAGUUCCGCCCAGCGCUGACCCUGGCUGCUGUGUGGGGGCUGGUGGAGAAGCCCUGCUGCAGCCUGCCCCACCCCCUGGCCACCUUUUCCUUCUUGCUACUUCCUUAAGCAGCGCGGGCAGGCCUGGCCUUUGCGCUCUGCGAGGGCCGCAUGCACCGUCAAUGAUUAACCUGAGGCUCUGGGUGCUCCCUCCCGCUCCCUCACCUGCUCUUGAACCUGAGCCAAAGGGCUUUGGGGAAGUGCAGAGGCCUGGAAGCAGCAGGUUAAAUCCGUCCCUUGACUCUGAUUCUGAACCUCUGGAGGAAGUCACCUGCAUCCUCCUAAGGCACUCCAUUUCCAAAGUCUGGCAUCUUCUCAUGGGCACAGGCUCAGAGACUACCAGGAGGCCAAGCUAGCCUUCGGAACUGUUCACACAGGAUUCUGCACCGGGCACGGAGGGGGUCUGGCCUUUUCUCCUCCCUCCCUGGACACUGGUCAGUUCCCUGUUCGAGCAGCUGCUCGGCCCCUGUGACAUCUCUCACCUCUUCCUGGCUCUGCUGUCCUCUGGGCUGCAGCACCAUGCCCCUCCUCUCUGCGCUCUCUGCUCACCCCCAGGAGGACAUGCUGGGCUCGUGUGGGCCUACCCAGCCCUGGACAGAACCGUCCUGCUGGUUUGUGGGCUGCUGGAACCAGGCCCCUCCCCUUGGCAGGCGGUUUCUGUGCCAGGGGCAGGGUGCCGAGCUCCCCGUCUUGGAGGAAGGCCCCUCUUGGGUAAGGAGGACUCGUGCUCGGGUCUCUCCAGGUCCACACACUUGCCUCCCCUCCUGAGCCUUUGGUGGUCACAGAGGCUUCCUGGUUUGUCCUCCUCCCCAUCUCGUGACCCGGGUAGAUUCAGACUGUGAGAGUCAGCAGCUGGGGAAGGGAACGGCCCGUGGGUGACUUGCACAUGUCGUUUGCUUUUGCGACACCCUCACUGGUUCAUCACUGUCCUGUAAGGAGAUGGGGACUCGGGGUGGCCCUGGCCUGCCCAUGGUCUCUCUCUCACGUGAGUUCCUAGAGAUCAAACCUGGGCCUCUGGUCCCCACACCAGGCUCCAUAAUGGACAGUCCUUGCCACACGACUCACCAGGAUGGGGGCGGUCUGACUCACGGGUCGCACGGCACCAGGAAGGCCUCUGUCCCCACAUGUAGGAGUGGAAGCUCCUCCCUGAUGUGGGGCUUGUUCUACCUGCUCUGCUUGCCCCUCCCUGCCCACAUGCCAUCUGUCCCAGGGGUGCAUUCCUGUCUCUGGACUUCAGCUCCCGGGGCAGCCACUGGCUAAUGCACCUGACCUCCUGAGUGUCUAGCUCCCAGUCCACCUGAAGCGUGCUCAGAGAACUCCCAUCUGGCUACGGUGGGGCAGAGUCACGGGGACGCAGCCUGACCUACAGGGAAGGGUUGGCUUCCUUAUGUGCACACAAGAUGGGUGGGCACGGUGGGAUGUGAGGACGCCCAUUCCCUGUCCCCCAACGCGGCACGCUGCAGAGCACCCACCAGCCUUGCUCGCCUGACCUGCAUGGCUGACCCUGAGCUGCAGCUCCCAGCCCAGGCGGGACACUGAGAGAAUAUCACACAUGCCACCAGCCUGGGAAGGAUCAAAAGGCCAAAUUCCAAGUACAGUCUCUACUGAACAUGUAUUGCUUUUGCACCAUGAUGAAGUCACAUGGUGUGUGUGUGUGUGUGAGAGAGAGAGAGAGAGAGAGAGAGAGAGAGGGGACAUGCACAUGGGUGCUGUGGGCAUUCAGGGGGUGUGACAUUUAUUAGGAGCAAUUGAUGAACACACCGGUGACAUACCACAAGGACACACAGCCACCCAGAACCUUGUCCUUGCUGGAGUGGGCCGGGGUGCAAGUCAGAGUGCGGUGCAACCUCUAGAGGUCAGGAAGAAAGGCGGACCUUCUCUGCGCCUCCCUCCCUCCCUCCCUCCCUCCCUCUGUUUCUCUGGCUGUGGUUUGAAUCUGAUGUGUCCCCCCAAGCCCCACGUGUUCCAGGCUUGGUUCCAGCUCAUGGUAUGGUUGGGAGGUGGUGGGGCCUGGUGAGAACCGUCAGGCCAUGGGGGGUGUGCCCCUGAGGGGGUGAUGGGACCCAGCUCCACCAUGUGCUCCUGACAUGACGGGCGGCUGGCCAUAAGCCCAGGGCAAUGAAUGAAACCUCCCAAACUGUGAAGCCAAAAACCUUUCCUCUUUAUAAGUUGGUUAUCUCAAGUAUUUGUUGUAGUGACGGAAAGCUGACUAAUAAACAGGCUUUCUUCUUUUUUCACUUUAUUGAGGUGUGGCUCAUAAUAAAAUGUGUAAGUCAGUGGUUUGUGGUGUAUGAAAUGCUUUCACUUGUAAAAAUUGUGGCAAAAUACAAAUUUCAUAAAAUUCACCCUUUUAAACCA